GAUGAACGCUGGCGGCGUGCCUAAUACAUGCAAGUCGAGCGAACAGACGAGGAGCUUGCUCCUCUGACGUUAGCGGCGGACGGGUGAGUAACACGUGGAUAACCUACCUAUAAGACUGGGAUAACUUCGGGAAACCGGAGCUAAUACCGGAUAAUAUAUUGAACCGCAUGGUUCAAUAGUUAAAGACGGUUUUGCUGUCACUUAUAGAUGGAUCCGCGCCGCAUUAGCUAGUUGGUAAGGUAACGGCUUACCAAGGCAACGAUGCGUAGCCGACCUGAGAGGGUGAUCGGCCACACUGGAACUGAGACACGGUCCAGACUCCUACGGGAGGCAGCAGUGGGGAAUAUUCCGCAAUGGGCGAAAGCCUGACGGAGCCACGCCGCGUGAGUGAUGAAGGUCUUCGGAUCGUAAAACUCUGUUAUUAGGGAAGAACAAAUGUGUAAGUAACUAUGCACGUCUUGACGGUACCUAAUCAGAAAGCCACGGCUAACUUCGUG
rnacentral:rRNA from 1 species